rnacentral:tRNA from 1 species
GGGGUUGUGGCUCAGUGAUAGAGCACUUGCCUUGCAUGUGUGAGGCACUGGGUUCAAUUCUCAGCACCA